rnacentral:rRNA from 1 species
AGAAUCAACGCUGGCGGCGUGCCUAACACAUGCAAGUCGAACGAGAAAGUGGAGCAAUCCAUGAGUAAAGUGGCGCACGGGUGAGUAACACGUGACUAACCUACCCUUGAGUGGGGGAUAACCUAGGGAAACCUGGGCUAAUACCGCAUAAUACCUUCGGGUCAAAGGAGCAAUUCGCUUAAGGAGGGGGUCGCGGCAGAUUAGUUAGUUGGCGGGGUAAUGGCCCACCAAGACGAUGAUCUGUA